GAGGUUUUUACUAGUCUCGAAUC
rnacentral:piRNA from 1 species